CGGCCUCUCUGUGUGCAUCCCUAGUAGAAACACAUUUUUACAGCACUGUAAUUCUUUAUGUUUGUGUCACAGUGAUGGAUGAUGAUGAUGAGGAGCUAGAGAGAGCGAUGAAGAGCAUAUCACCCACCAAGGAACUGGCACAGUGUUUCCCACCGUGCCGACAGUGAAGAGACCUGUAACCAUUCCUCCUGAGCUGCAGGUUCUGGUGACAGAGGUUGCUCAUCCCAACAAACUGAGUUCUUUCAGCGUGAACUUCAGCUAACCGAGCGCAGAGUGGAAGACAGAGCGGAAAAGAAGAGGAAACUGCCGGACCCUCAGCCUCGAGGAACAAUGUGUCGUUUCUGUCACACAGAGCUGAAGCAGGGUCCAACCAGCAGACACACACACACACACACACACACACACACACACACACACACACACACAGACAGGAUUCCCGGGAGGAAAACACAUUUACUGUCCAGCUAAGGUCCUUGCGUCAUAAAGACAUGACAAAGGAAAUGACUGAAUAAAUAAAGAUAAGAACCGUCAAAUAUUCAGCCAAACCAUGUAGUGUUUUAGUUUUUAAAUGUACAUAAGGAAACCCGGGGGGUCCAGUUUGAUGCAGUUAGUGUGAGACUUCCAGCCACAGGCUCACAUGUACAUUGAGCCAAAGCUAAUUGUAUAAUAUUGUGAGGACUGGACUCAUUUACAGGCAGCAGAGCCAAAGCUAAAUGUUGUAUUCUCUUAUUUUUUCAUAUAAAUAUAAUUUGCAAUUUCUUGUAGUAAAUAUUGACUCAUAUUAAGAUUUUAUAGAACAUAUUCUAUUCAGUAAAUAUUGAAUGUACCUGAUUGUGUUCUGUAUAGAUCUACUUAUUGUCAGCGACCGACAGAUGGAGCAAACUGGGUUGUAGUGGGUGUUGAGUUGAGCUGCAGGCCGCGCCCCUCCCUGCCUGAGUGCAUCAGGUGUGGGUGUGUCUCCCAGCCUGAAGGCAGCAGACUGAGUGCACCAGGUGUGGGUGUGUCUCUGUCAGGGACUGAGCUGGCAGGCAUGAGGAGUCAAGGAUUUGUUUGGCGGCA